UAUAUUCCAGCUUUACCAAAACAUGCACCAUAUGUGAGCUUUACCAAAACAUGCACCAUAUGUUACACAGCAGUUUGGUCUUAAUUCUCUUCAAGGAUUUUCUGGAAUGUCGCCAUUUGGGCAGAUGCAGGAACAAUCACCUGUUCAUCUUCAGCAACCUCAUCUACAACAACCACCCUUUCAUAGCGGUCCACAAAUGCACCAGGCUCCCCCUCCAGAUAUCCAGUCAUUUCAAUUUC